AUCCGGGUUGCGGACAGUGUCUGGUGGGUAGUUUGACUGGGGCGGUCUCCUCCCAAAGAGUAACGGAGGAGCACGAAGGUUAGCUAAUCCUGGUCGGACAUCAGGAGGUUAGUGCAAUGGCAUAAGCUAGCUUGACUGCGAGAGUGACGGCUCGAGCAGGUGCGAAAGCAGGUCAUAGUGAUCCGGUGGUUCUGAAUGGAAGGGCCAUCGCUCAACGGAUAAAAGGUACUCCGGGGAUAACAGGCUGAUACCGCCCAAGAGUUCAUAUCGACGGCGGUGUUUGGCACCUCGAUGUCGGCUCAUCACAUCCUGGGGCUGAAGUAGGUCCCAAGGGUAUGGCUGUUCGCCAUUUAAAGUGGUACGCGAGCUGGGUUUAGAACGUCGUGAGACAGUUCGGUCCCUAUCUGCCGUGGGCGCUGGAGAAUUGAGGGGGGCUGCUCCUAGUACGAGAGGACCGGAGUGGACGCAUCACUGGUGUUCGGGUUGUCAUGCCAAUGGCACUGCCCGGUAGCUAAAUGCGGAAGAGAUAAGUGCUGAAAGCAUCUAAGCACGAAACUUGCCCCGAGAUGAGUUCUCCCUGAGACUUUAAGUCUCCUGAAGGAACGUUGAAGACGACGACGUUGAUAGGUCGGGUGUGUAAGCGCAGCGAUGCGUUGAGCUAACCGAUACUAAUGAACCGUGAGGCUUAACCUU
rnacentral:rRNA from 2 species